GGCUCAGGAUGAACGCUAGCGGCAGGCCUAACACAUGCAAGUCGAGGGGGUAUUUAGGAGCUUGCUCCUAAGAGACCGGCGCACGGGUGCGUAACGCGUAUGCAAUCUACCUUGUACAGGGGAAUAGCCCAGAGAAAUUUGGAUUAAUGCCCCAUAGUAUAAUUGAAUCGCAUGGUUUAAUUAUUAAAGUUCCAACGGUACAAGAUGAGCAUGCGUCCCAUUAGUUAGUUGGUAAGGUAACGGCUUACCAAGACAAUGAUGGGUAGGGGUCCUGAGAGGGAGAUCCCCCACACUGGUACUGAGACACGGACCAGACUCCUACGGGAGGCAGCAGUGAGGAAUAUUGGUCAAUGGGCGCAAGCCUGAACCAGCCAUGCCGCGUGCAGGAAGAAGCAUCUAUGGUGUGUAAACUGCUUUUGUACAGGAAGAAACACUCCCUCGUGAGGGAGCUUGACGGUACUGUAAGAAUAAGGAUCGGCUAACUCCGUG
rnacentral:rRNA from 1 species